GCGCCCGGGCCCUGCGCGUCGCGGGGUCGCGCCGGGGUUACGCCGGUCACGUGACGGCGGAAGCGGAAGCGGUCCCGGCGGGCCUGCGGCCUCCGUUGCGCCGCGCCUGUCGCGACACCGGUGUCGCGACCCGCCGGCGACACCGCCCGGGGGCUUCGCGGCUCCCGCGCUGCCGGCGGCAAGGUACCCCGCCUCGGCUGCUGGGCUUUUCCUGCCCCUUCUGCUCCCGGUGCAGCGACGUGCUCGGGGCCGCGGGGCCGCCCCCGCGCUCUGGCGGUGCCCUCGAGCUCCCUGGCAGCCUCCCGGCCCGGCCGAGUUCGGCCGGACGGGGCCCGGGGCCGAGCCCCGCUGGCUGCAGCCCCAGACCCGGCCGGUCGCUGCUUCGCGCUGCUGCCCGUAAGUCUUUAACGAACGCUGGGUCCAGGUGGCUCCUUGCUCUCACCGGAGUCUCAGUUUUCCGGUGUCUCAGUCCUCCACCGAGACCGUCCCUCUCCCACUUCUGUCCCAUUUCUGUUCCUAUCCCACUUCUAGCUGGGUUUUUCUGGUGGAAAGGCAUCCUUGUUUUUCCUGUGCUCUCCCACAGUGUGGGACACGUUUGGGCUGGAGCCUGUUGUCUGCGCAGUCCCUGGGGAAGGGACGUUGUGCUCGCUGAGUGACAGGGAUUAAAGCUCCGCGCGCCAGCUGAGGCCCUGGUUCCAGGGCCAUUAAGACUGAGUCACCCACAGUACAGCUUCAUCUAGACCAGGUGUGGGUGUGCGAUCGCAUUUGUCGCACUGGCCAGAACGCCCGGUACAAAGCUGAUGCUGACUUUCUGCCAGCUGCAGAAGGACGGAGAGUAUCUCAUCUGGCACAAAGUCUGCAGGUUUGGAGUCAGCCUGCUGUAAAUCUGAAGAGAUAGGUAGCAGCUGAGUGGGUGUAUGCUGGGUCAGCACUUCAUGGCGCUUGGCUGUGGCGUUUUUGAUCCCCGAUGAGGAUCCCAGAAGCUGGAUUUAUCCUCUCCUUGAAGCUGGUGCUCCUCACUGGGGCAGUGGGACAGAUCCCCGAGUGACCCGCGCCUCCCGCCCUGCGGAGCGCCCGGGCGAGGCUUCCUGGCAGGCGCUGGGUGCCCGGUAGGGGCAGCAGAGGAGCUCCCGCCGUGCCGUCGGCCCAGCGCACUCGCAAGUCUUCUGGCCCUUUUUCAGGCUAAUUAAAUACAUCCUUGAAAGGUUUAUGCCCUCAUCUGUCACUGGGCGACCGCACCGCUGAAAUUCAUCCCGGGCUGGAGUGAGGCAUGAGAUAAGGGGCUGGCCGCCGAAGCGCGCUCGCUCCAGUAACGCUGCCUGUGGAUGAAUCGGGAUUCCGGGUUGCUGGGUGCGGCCCGAUGCUGCGCUCGCCAUCAUUGCCAGAAGCUGAGAGACAGCAAGGUGGUUUUACUUUUUUUCUCCUGUUUCUCUUCAUAAAGCAAGCCUGCGUAGCUCUGCAGUUGCUGUGGGGAAGUGGCCCCUAGCAGGAGGAGUCAGGGGCAAUGUGGGGGGCUCCUGCAACCAGCAGCUUCCCUCUGUAAUAAGCGUGCCUCUGCAUCGGCUCAGAGGAGCCCAGGGCUGCGUUCCUGACCACCCCCGAGCUGGGCCUGCGUGCAGAUUUGGAGUGUCCCUGUGCAUCCUCUGCCAAAAGCUCAGUGCUCCUGGCAGAGGCAGGUGGGUCGGAGGGAGUGCUGUCAGAAGUUGCCUCCCAGGUAGAGGAACCGGGAUGAAUUUAUGUCAGAUUAGUGUAUCCUCUCUUUUGCCUUCAGUCAGCUGCUUUUCGAGACGAAUGGGGGACUCUUUCUGGUGAAUGGUGGUUCCAGGGCAGGAAGAGAGGGAGCAAAGCAGUCAGAGCCCUGGGAACCCUAAGGGGUGGUGCAGAUCCUCUGGUACAGGUUGUGCUAAUGGAAAGCUGCUUAAAGCCUCCCUGUUACUCUGCAAAGAUAACCCCUGUCCUCUGGCUCAAAGGCUUGUAUUAGGGAGAACUUCUCUGAGAUGGAUAUUCUGGCUCCCUUUAAAAAUGCAGUACACUCACAAAAAACAGUGAGCAAAAAAUUUCCACACCAGGCAUAGCGUCAUUCCUGUGCUCGGCUCUGAAAACAUAGCUCCUUUCUGAUAACGCUCUGCAAUUCUAGCUGCCAUUCCUGGAAUGAUUUGAGGGCCAAAGAAAAUGCCUCACAGCGAGAGGCUUACAGAGUCCAAAAAUGGCUGUGACUGGGCACGUGUGUCCAAAUACCUUACGAGAGGGAAUACCAGGUUAAAGGCCUUUGGGGAACGAGCUGAGAAGGCAAUACGAGCACUUGUGCCUCGAGAGCAAAGCCUUGCAGACUCAAAUGGGCUAAGCAGCUCGUUCUUAACAGGAUGGGUGAUGAGCUGCUUUGAAAGGCUGUCCCAGGAGGUGAGGCUGUCCCAGGAGGUGAGGAUUUCCCAGCUCAGUGUCUUCCAAUCUUCCAGCCUGAAUGUUCUUGGAAGGAGCUACUGCCAAAUGAGCUACCCAGACUGGGUGCACUGCUCUGUCUGAGCUAAUCUGAUCAGUGAUCUUGCUCUUACUUGCAACUCUCAGCUUUGCUGAUGUGCCCUGUCCCCGGGCAGUGGUUUGCUGGCUGUGCUGACCCACAUCAUGGAUUGGCAGUGCUACCACAAUAGCUUCUCCAUGACCUAAUCACUUCAGUCAGUGUCCCAGAAUAGGUGGUGGCUUGUGCUGAGCUCUGUGCCCAGGGCAGUGCCUUUCCAACCUCUUGCAAUCCGAGCCUCUGGGCUUUCGUAGUCAGUGAUUUUGUAGCCAGUGGUGUUUGUUCCUCUUACGUUCUUUUUUUUUUUCUUUCUUUUUAAAGAAAACAUUGCUAGAGAUGUUUGUGUAGCUGUAGGGCAUUAAUCCACAUCAACCAGGCUUGUAUUUAUAACCCACCUGGGGAGGGCUGAUGCAUCAGCACAUUUUGUAAAACGUUGAGCAAAACAUCCCUUGCUGCAGGAAAUGGUUUUUCUUCACACCAGAUUGCUUCACCACUCAGCUCCUUCCCAUCAGCAGUGUCUCUUGAAGAACGUGCCCGGGGACACUCCCGGGGGAUUGCUCCAUUGCUCCUUUCUGGGUGGGGGCAAGCUGUGCCUGCCUAAUCCUGGGCACCGCUCUGAUGCGUCUGCCUCGUGGCCAGGCCUAGCUGGGCCACAGGCUCUUCUGGAGGGAGCAGCCUUCCUCUGGCGCUAGCUGUGAAGCUGGGAUUUUUGCAUCCCAGUGUGCUGGGCAUGGAUGGGAAUUUUGUAGCACAAUACCCCGUCUUCUGUGGCUGACAAGGCUGUGGCUGCACUGGUGGUCUCAGAAGUAAUGUAACCUCUGGUCUUGGGCAGGGCAGUCUGAGAGGGGGAGGAGUAGCUCAGAGCUGAUCCCCAGGGGCUUGGAAGAGCCCGUGAAGCCCUAGGACAAGGCUGCUUAUGUCUUACCAAGGUCCCCUUGGCGGAGGGCAGCUUGCUGGCCCCAGCUCGGGCUGGAGAGGUGCUGCCCAUGGCUGCUGUGAGCCCUCCUCGGGGCGAGGAGACGCGGCCUGGGGCACCUUGGCCAGCUCUGGGCAGCGUGUGCAGCCUAGGUCCACCUCACUGCCUGCUCUGGUCCUUCCUCCUGUCUGUAGGAGGUAGCCAGGGCAUCCUCCGUGUGUCCUGCUCUGCAUCGUGAGCCCACUGCAUGCACCGUCCUCUACGCAACCUGGAAUGACGGUGGUGCCAAACUGUGUCGUAAGCGGCCUGUCUGGUUUGUCUUGCCCGUGCCUCGCUCCUGGGCUUAGGUCAGAGCUGUGGCUGCUGUUCUGCAGAGCUUCAGCACCAACGAAGGCCUUUCCAGGAUGUGUUUGGGUGCGCUAAAAUGCAAACAGCAGCAGGCCCUGGCCCUGCCUGGCCCCUCCUCGCGUGCCAGAACUGCUGCUGCUGCUGGCUGUUUUUUUUCCCCCUUUAGAGUGAUCCUGUGGCUUCCUUCCCAGAACCUGAGACCUCGAGAGCCACGGUCCAAGGCCACCGGAUUCCAUCUUCUCCUGUGCUGCUGAUUCAUCAGUGCUGAAGACAGCUGCUGCUCCUGUCUCACCGCCGUGGAACAAAGCGCUGGCCGUGUGCGCUCCUCGUUGACUGAUGUGCCCACACAGGAGCCUGCGGCCACCAAGCCCCGUCUCGCUCUGCUCCCCUCGUCGGCCCUGGCUCCAUCACCCCCGCGUUGUCCCGCUGCUGCAGGAGCCUGUCCCGGGGGUGCAGGUGUGCGCGAGUGGCUGAAGCAGCCCCUUCUGCCUGCCCGGCGGGGAACAGUCUCAGCCUCGCUGUGGCUCGUAUCGCUGGUGUUGCAGCUCUGAACUCUGGUUCCCCUUGCGGCAGUCUCAGCUGGCCUGGUCCAGCAAGCUGCCUCGGAACGGCUAUCCCCAGGGAGCUGAAGGAACGACAGGAGUGGGGCGGCUGUCCCGUCCCUGUGCACCUCUUUCCAAAGCCACAGCUGGUGACACAAUCUGUGCUUGCCCUGUGCAGCCUGUUGAGAGCCAGGAGCAGAGGACAGUCCGUAAGCUCUGCACCCUCUUACGCCAGUCUGAAUUCAUUGCGUGCUCUGUUCUCAUGGUAGGUGGAAUUUUUAGUAAAAGAAAAGUUAACCAAAGCCAGAGGCAAAAGCUGAAAUGGGACCAGGUUUAAGGGAUAGAAGAUGGAUUUCCAGCAAAGCAAAUCAUGAGACACAGUUGUCUCUGAAGUUAGCAAGAGCCUCAUGGUGUUUGAAGCUCUCGUACCCUUGUCCUGUGGCCCUUGGCCUGCCUGGAGCUGCCAGACCCUGCAUUCUGGGUCUUCACUGUGCUUCUCCCUCAGAUAGGCUGGGCUGGACCGUUUUCCCCCCAGUUCAAAUACACAGGCAAUUUCAAAGGUCUCUGCUGGAGGCUGACUCUCUGUUCAAGCUGUUCCUGGAUUUCCCACCUUGAGGGCAUCCUGGCCGGCAGCAGUGCGAUUUCCCCUCCGUCCGGUCUCGUGGUGCAGAUGCCGUGACUCCCGUGGAGCCUGCCGGAUCGCAGGUAUCGUAUCGCACGGUAGGUGCUGCGUGGGGCCGGCCGCUUCUGGGCUGUCGCUGGUCCAGCAGCCGCAGCGCUGCCCCCGUGCCCUGGCAUGGGAUGGGACGCUGCAGGGGCCGGACACCGUGGCCGUGCGGGGCAGCGCGUGCCGUGGAGCCGUGGCCGCGGGGCUCAGCGCUGCAGCGGGCUUUCUCGCGCCUGGGGCCUCGGGGCCAGCGUGGGGAGGGCAGCUCCGUAGCUGUGGUGCCCUGGGCAGCCAGGGCACCUGGGGUCCGGGCAGGAUGGGGAGCACGUGUGUCCGCAUGGAGCGGGAAGUGUGGAGCAGUGUGUGUUCCCCCCACUCCCACCCCGUUUUUUUUAGCUGGCUAGGAGAUUUUCUCCAGCAUCCUUGUGGGACCCAAACAGACCAGGGACGGACCCAAACAGACCAGGGAUUCCCAGGGCGUGAAAGGAGGCAGGGGAAGGUGUGGAGGGGGAGGACGUCCCAGCCUGAUGCAGGGUGGUGACUGUGCCAACCACCUUGGUGCCUGCAGCCAGCGUGACGACUUGGGGAAUCGGUCAUGUGCAAUUUAUAACUGGGAUCGGUGUUGCUGAGUGAUGAAAUUGCAGCGUUGGUUUCAGUGCCUCUGGGGUGAGAGUGUAUUCACCCAGGCUGUGUCAUCUUUCUCCCAGACGAGAGGCAGCAGAGAGCAGCUAACCUGGGCGCUGGGGCUGGGAGCGGGUAGCGCGGACGCCGGGCAGGACUCCUGGCCAGGCAAAGGGGUGAGGAGCUCACAAGAGGCUGGUGAUGGAGAGGGUGAGGAGUUCCCUGGAAAGGACACGGGAUGGGCGGGAUGCUGGAGGCCUCUGGAAAGGGUCCAGGGCAGGGAACCUGGCAGGUGCAUCCGGGGAGCGUCGGCAGGAGUGUGCUGUGCCGGGGCCCGAAGCUUAGCUGGGGAGAGCUGAGCAGAGCUGAGGGGACGCUGAGCACAGCACGGUUUGCAGAGAAGGGUCCUGGGCCCAGCUGGAGGAUGUGAUCCCAGCCCACGCGGUGCCGGGUGUCAGGGCAGCAGAUACGGGAAGCGUGUGCAGGAAUGUUGUUUCUGUCUAGAGCUGUUGAAUAAAGAGCAAUGGGGCAUCCAAGCCUCUGACGCAGA